rnacentral:rRNA from 1 species
GAUGAACGCUGGCGGCGUGCUUAAUACAUGCAAGUCGAGCGAACGGACGAGAAGUUUGCUUCUCUGAUGUUAGCGGCGGACGGGUGAGUAACAAGUGGAUAACCUACCUAUAAGACUGGGAUCACUUCGGGAAACCGUAGCUAAUACUGGAUAAUAUUUUGAACCGCAUGGUUCAAAAGUGAAAGACGGUCUUGCUGUCACUUAUAGAUGGAUCCGCGCUGCAUUAGCUAGUUGGUAAGGUAACGGCUUACCACGGCAACGAUGCAUAGCCGACCUGAGAGGGUGGUAGGCCACACUGGAACUGAUACACGGACCACGCUCCUUCGGGAGGCAGCAGGAGCGAAUCUUCCGCAAUGGGCGGAAACCUGCCGAAACAACCCCGCGUGAGUGAUGAAGGUCUUCGGGUCGUAAAACACGGUUAUUAGGGAAGAACAUAUGUCUAAGUAACUGUACACCUCUUGACGGUACCUAAUCAGAAAGCCACGGCUAACUACGUG